GUCGUACAAGGUUUCCGUAGGUGACCUGCGGAAGGAUCAUUAUUGAAAUAAAUCUGAUGAGUUGUUGCUGGCUCUCUAGGGAGCAUGUGCACGCUUGUCAUCUUUAUAUCUCCACCUGUGCACAUUUUGUAGUCCUGGAUAUCUUUCUGAAUGCUUGUCACUCAGGUUUGAGGAUUGACCUUUGUGUCUUUCCUUACAUUUCCAGGUCUAUGUUUCUUCAUAUACCCUAAUGUAUGUUAUAGAAUGUAUCUCAUGGGACUUUGUGCCUAUAAAUUUAUACAACUUUCAGCAACGGAUCUCUUGGCUCUCGCAUCGAUGAAGAACGCAGCGAAAUGCGAUAAGUAAUGUGAAUUGCAGAAUUCAGUGAAUCAUCGAAUCUUUGAACGCACCUUGCGCUCCUUGGUAUUCCGAGGAGCAUGCCUGUUUGAGUGUCAUUAAUAUAUCAACCUCUUAAGACUUUUUUGUCUGGUUAGAGUGUUGGAUGUGGGGGCUUUCUUUUGCUGGCCUUUGAAGGUCAGCUCCCCUGAAAUGUAUUAGCGGAAUGAUCUGUGGACCGUUCAUUGGUGUGAUAACUAUCUACGCUAUUGACGUGAAACAAGUUCAGCUUCUAAUAGUCCAUUGACUUGGACAAAUUUUCAUUAAUGUGACCUCAAAUCANGUANGAUUACCCGCUGACUUAA
rnacentral:rRNA from 1 species